GACGAACGCUGGCGGCGUGCUUCAUACAUGCAAGUCGAACGAGAAGCUGACUUCGGUCAGUGGAAAGUGGCGGACGGGUGAGUAAUAUGUAGGAAAUCUGCCUUUAGGAGGGGGACAACAGAGGGAAACUUCUGCUAAUACCCCAUAUGAGCGUAGCUGAAAUGCUAUUCUUGAAAACUCCGGUGCCUAAAGAUGAGCCUGCAUCUGAUUAGCUAGUUGGUAGUGUAAUGGACUACCAAGGCGACGAUCAGUAGCUGGUUUGAGAGGAUGAUCAGCCACAAUGGGACUGAGACACGGCCCAUACUCCUACGGGAGGCAGCAGUAGGGAAUUUUGCGCAAUGGGCGAAAGCCUGAUGCAGCAACGCCGCGUGAACGAUUAAGCCCUUCGGGGUGUAAAGUUCUGUCAGUGGGGACGAAACUUGACGGUACCCACAGAGGAAGCACCGGCUAACUCCGUG
rnacentral:rRNA from 1 species